AGAGUUUGAUCCUGGCUCANAACUAACGCUGGCGGCGUGCCUAACACAUGCAAGUCGUACGAGAAAGUUGGCUUCGGCCGAUGAGUAAAGUGGCGCACGGGUGAGUAACGCGUGGAUAAUCUACCCCUCAGUUGGGAAUAACUCAUCGAAAGGUGGGCUAAUACCGAAUAAUACUGCAUAGCUACUGUUGUGCAGUCAAAGAUGGCCUCUGCUUGCAAGCUAUCGCUGAAGGAUGAGUCCGCGUACCAUUAGCUAGUUGGUAGGGUAAUAGCCUACCAAGGCAACGAUGGUUAGCUGGUCUGAGAGGAUGAUCGGCCACACUGGAACUGAGACACGGUCCAGACUCCUACGGGAGGCAGCAGUGAGGAAUAUUGCGCAAUGGGGGAAACCCUGACGCAGCAACGCCGCGUGAGUGAGGAAGGUUUUCGGACCGUAAAGCUCUGUCGAGCGGGAAGAAAUGCAUAAUGGCUAAUAUCCAUUAUGCUUGACGGUACCGCUAGAGGAAGCACCGGCUAACUCCGUGCCAGCAGCCGCGGUAAUACGGGGGGUGCAAGCGUUGUUCGGAAUCAUUGGGCGUAAAGAGCGUGUAGGCGGCUGGAUAAGUCAGAUGUGAAAGCCCUGGGCUUAACUCAGGAAGUGCAUUUGAAACUGUUCAGCUUGAGUAAGGGAGAGGAAAGUGGAAUUCCUGGUGUAGAGGUGAAAUUCGUAGAUAUCAGGAGGAACACCGGUGGCGAAGGCGACUUUCUGGCCCUAUACUGACGCUGAGACGCGAGAGCGUGGGUAGCAAACAGGAUUAGAUACCCUGGUAGUCCACGCUGUAAACGAUGUUCACUAGGUGUUGGGGGUAUUGACCCUCUCAGUGCCGCAGCUAACGCAUUAAGUGAACCGCCUGGGGAGUACGGUCGCAAGAUUAAAACUUAAAGGAAUUGACGG
rnacentral:rRNA from 1 species